rnacentral:lncRNA from 1 species
UAAUGAAGAAAAAAAAAAUUUCAUCUCUAAUAAAAAUAAAACAUAUAAUAUGGGAAAAUAAACAAAAUUUAAGAAAUAUCUAUAUAUUCUGCUUUGUUGCAAAGUCAAUCAAUUUUCCUUCCAUCUAUAUUCAACAUCUAUAGCUUCAGAAAAAAUGCAUUUUGACUGGUAAGGUCUUUGAUAUUUUAAUUUCACAAUUAAAACUCCAUUCAAAGUAAGUUCUUUGGCAGUGUCGAUAGCUUCUUCACUUGAGAUCUAAAAUCACAAACAAAUAUGAAAGUUAAUAUCAGUAAUUUUAUAAAGCAUGGAUAAAUUAUCAUGACUCAGUUAGCGAUGCUUCCUCCAUAAAAGGGAAUUAAUACCCUUCAAG